rnacentral:misc_RNA from 1 species
GAAAUGCGAUACGUAAUGCGAAUUGCAGAAUUCAGUGAAUCAUCAAAUCUUUGAACGCAAAUUGCGCUCUCGGGUAGCCCUGGGAGCACGCCUCUCUCAGUAUCGGUUCAAUCACCGCUCAGCAGCGUUUGGAUUUGGAUGUUUGCCGGUGAUGAACCGACUCAUCUUAAAAGUAUUAGCUGGAUCUGUCUAUAUGACUGGUUUGACUUGGCAUAAUAAGUAUUUUGCUGAGGACAUCUUCGGAUGGCCAGUACCUAGACUACUGUCUGCUAACUAAACCAUCACUUUAAGUGCAUCUUUGGAUGUUACUCAUUGUGUAACUUUGACAUCUGGCCUCAAAUCAAGUAGGACUACCCGCUGAACUUAA